ensembl:snoRNA
AGCACUGUGUUUAAACCUGUGGAUGGGAAUCUUUCCCAUUCUUGGUGAUGCUGUAGUGCAAAAAUAUCCCUGCCUCUUUCUUUUUGGACAGCCGACUUUGUGCCAUCCUGCUGUUACUACGUGGAAUUAAGGAAUGUAA